AUGGAUCAGGAGCUGAUCGAGCACCUUGAGGCCAAAGUGAGUGCUGACAGCGCGAGAUCUCACCCUCUCAUCGAUUUGUUCAUACCAACCAUCGACAGCGAGCACGGCAUAUGCUACACCCAUCCUGAGAAACUUCCAGGUAUCACACUGAGUGGACUAAGCAAGCAUUUCUUCCGGCGCAAUUCCAGGGCGUUCAAAAGGGGCACGUGGACGCGUCGCAAGAUACAGUCGGAGUGCGGCAUGCACGCGAUGUCGCAUAAGACCGGCAAUACCUUGCCGGUGAUGGUCAAUGGCCGGCAGACGGGUAGCAAAAAGGUUCUGGUGCUGCACACCAACAAGAACUUCGACCAUUCCCGCAAAAAAGAACUUCGGCCAGCAGAGGACCAACUGGGUGAUGCACCAGUACCACCUCAGGGACCUGGAGCAAGAGAAGGAGUGGGAGCUGGUCUUCUGCAAGAUUUUCUACCAGACGAACAUUAG
rnacentral:rRNA from 1 species